ACCUUCGUAGCGUAAUGGUCAACACGCUCGACGCAAAAUUCGAGAGGUUCGUGGUUAGAGUCCUGGCGAGGGCA
rnacentral:tRNA from 1 species